rnacentral:rRNA from 1 species
AAACAUUUCUGAGGGGAAAAUGUUUUUGGUAUAACCUGCUCAAUGCUUUUUGUAAAUAGCUGCAGUAUUUUGACUGUACAAAGGUAGCAUAAUCAUUAGUCUUUUGAUUGGAGGCUUGUAUGAAUGGUUGAACAGAAAAUUAACUUUUUUAGUUGCACGAAGUUUUAAUUUGUAGUUUAUGUAAAAAUGCAUAAUUAUUUAAAAGGGACGAUAAGACCCUAUAGAAUUUAAAAAUAAUUUUGAAGAUAAAUUUUUUUGUUGGGGUGACAAUAAAUAAACUUUUAUAAUAUUUUCAUUGAUGAGUGGUUUAAUGAUCCUGUAUUUUAGAUAAAAAGAUAAAAUUACCUUAGGGAUAACAGCAUAAUUUUUUUUAAAAGAUCUUAUUAGUAAAAAAGAUUAUGACCUCGAUGUUGAAUUAAAAUAAGAUUUUGGUGUAGAAGCUAAAUUC